AAAUAUCUUGCCCCACUGGCUGCGCGCUCAUAAAGGGACGUCCACCUGUACUUCCGUGUGGCUCCAGAAAGGGCAGCUCUCUCUCUCUCUCUCUUGCUUGCUCAUGCCCGGCGGGGAGAAAAGGGAGCGGCUGGCAGCACCACCCCCUGCCCAUGCAGGCCGGCCUGGGGAGCACAGCUGGGCCCCUCCCGCCUCUGCCUUCCCGGCGAUGCUCCUGGGGAAGCUGCGGGGAACGUGCCGCCUUGGACGCUGUGCUUUCUUCUUCGGCCUGGCCCUCCUGCUCGACGUCAUAGGCCUGGUCCUUCUGCUUGUGGGCAUCUUUGCCUCCCUUGACUUCUGGGACUUCUUGAUCUACACGGGGUCCCUGAUCCUGGCUUUCAGCCUGCUCUUCUGGAUCGCCUGGUACACCCUCAACGUGGAGGUGCCUCUUGAGAAACUGGACUUGUAGUCUGGCCGUGGGCAGAGGAGGAGGGACGUGGGCUUCCUGGCAGGUGGAGGAGCACAGGGCUAUUCUGCCCAGCCAGGGACCAGCCCAGGUGCCAUCUGAUGGAGAAGCAGCAAACAGAUGCCCUGUCUCUGCAGCACCUCCUGUAACAGGACCCACAGGAGCCAGGGGCUUUCAAAACACCUGCCAGGAUGUCCAGAGAUGGCUAUGAGGGCCGGGCUCCAUCAAGACACCCAAACCCCUGCCCCUGGCCACUGGCUGACUGCUGCUGGUGCUCUAACUGUCUGUGAGGGUCUGGAGAGCCCCUAACAUUUGCAUAGUGGGGUUUUAUGGCAAUAACUCCACUGUGGGCUUGGGCAGUCAAUGAGAAGUCCCAUCCUCCAAGGCUCCUCUCAUUAAUGUCCCUUAAAAAUAUAUAUAUAUUGGAACCAAGUAUAGAAGUCCAAAUGAGGGUUCUUCGAGCACACAUCAUUUGGAAUUGCUGCUCCUUCGGCUCUUCAGACAGACUGUGUGAGCCCCUGGAUGAUCUACCUCACUCAUCCUUCCGUGUCGUCCAGUCAGCACAUGGGUGUAUAUUUCAACUUGCCGGCUGACAAGGCAAAUGCAGAGCCAGUGCUGAGGGUAGGGGCCCCCUUCCUUGGCUCUGGACACCGGGAACCACCAAUGCUGCCCCCAACUUGCAUAGCUGGACCAUGUUGGGGGGGCUCGCGUCAAGCUUUCAGUCAAAUGAAACCCUCUGGGGUUUUUCUGACAAGCAAGCUGGGCUCCGCUGCACUGUCCUUGAGUCACUCAUUUCUUGAUUUUAAGAUCAGUAUUCUAUUUUUAUCUUGAUUCAGCUGCAUCUAAUUCAGUGCAACCCAACUGGAGUACCUGGAUUCGGGGCGGGGGGCGGGGGACGGUCAACCUUCACAAGCUCAUCAUCACUAAUUUAUAUUUUCCAUGGUCUAAUUUUGUACUUUUUAUUUAUUUCUCACCCUAACUGUGUAUGUGUUUCUUAGAUGCUGCCUCAUAUCUUUUGUGGUAUGAGGUAGUUACCUAAAUAAAAGAUUCAACUGGCCUUUUGCUUCAACUCGA